rnacentral:rRNA from 1 species
UACGUAGGGUGCGAGCGUUAAUCGGAAUUACUGGGCGUAAGCGUGCGCAGGCGGUUCUGUAAGUCAGAUGUGAAAUCCCCGGGCUCAACCUGGGAACUGCGUUUGAAACUACAGGGCUAGAGUAUGGGAGAGGGAGGUAGAAUUCCACGUGUAGCAGUGAAAUGCGUAGAGAUGUGGAGGAAUACCAAUGGCGAAGGCAGCCUCCUGGCCUAAUACUGACGCUCAUGCACGAAAGCGUGGGGAGCAAACAGG